rnacentral:rRNA from 1 species
GACGAACGCUGGCGGCGUGCUUAACACAUGCAAGUCGAACGGUGAAGCGCCUUCCUUUUUGGUGGGUGUGGAUGAGUGGCGAACGGGUGAGUAACACGUGAGUAACCUGCCCCCUUCUUCUGGAUAACCGCAUGAAAGUGUGGCUAAUACGGGAUAUUCUGGGUCUGUCGCAUGAUGGGUCUGGGAAAGAUAUUGUUUCGGUGGGGGAUGGGCUCGCGGUCUAUCAGCUUGUUGGUGGGGUGAUGGCCUACCAAGGCGGUGACGGGUAGCCGGCCUGAGAGGGUGGACGGUCACACUGGGACUGAGACACGGCCCAGACUCCUACGGGAGGCAGCAGUGUGGAAUAUUGCACAAUGGGCGCAAGCCUGAUGCAGCGACGCCGCGUGAGGGAUGGAGGCCUUCGGGUUGUGAACCUCUUUCGCCAGUGAAGCAGGCCUGCCUCGUUUGUGGGUGGGUUGACGGUAGCUGGAUAAGAAGCGCCGGCUAACUACGUG